AAAGGAGCGAGCGGCCGCGGGGCGGGCCCCAGGACGGGCCCGCUAGAUCUAUCACGGAGCUGGUUUCGUGAGUGACGCUCUCAGGUCCGCGGCGGGCAAGAUGCAGCUCUUGUGCUGUACUGUCCGGAGGUCAAGGACUUGGCCCACAUGACCCGCUGCACGCCGUAACCGGGGAACUCUAAAGCUACGGCAGAAGAAAGGUGGGAGCUGCGUUCUCGUGGCGCGCUGUAGUACAGGGGUCUGAUGCCAAGACUACCUACCCCCCGUCACAUCCUGGAUUGGCAUGGAUGAGGGAGGUGAGCCAAGGGCAGGAAGGAACGCCCUGGGAGGUGUUAAUACUGCGCUGCAGAGGCUCCUAGGCGAAUCGCCCCCGUCUGACUGUCUGUGCCAGCCUUGCGUAUUCAGGAUGGAGUGGCUUAGGGAUGAUGGAAACAGUCUCCGUUCUCGUGGGAAGUAGACAGACUGUUUCCCUAGCUGUGACUUUGGCUUUUGUCCAGGGCAGCUCUGGUGUGUGGGAGCAACAGGUCCCAUUUUAGCAAUUCUGUGUCAAUGAUUUUAAAGAUGGAACGGGAGAGAAGAGGCCGAUUUUCAAGUCGUGUUAAUCUCACUUCUCUAGCACCUAAGAGAAGUGAGAAAAAUACAUUGUACCCUCCCUACCCUCCUCCAUUGGUAUGCCUACUGUUUCCUCAUCCCCAGUACUGUUUCUAAAAUUAUCAAGAUGCAUCCCUACCUAUGAGGUUAAGAGCCUUGCUUCAUUUCAGAAUCUCCCUUUAACCAGUUAGGGCAGGCAUGAGAAGGUCCAAAGGGCAUUUAUCUGAGUCAGUUCAUUAGUGCUUAUCAAGGAGAGGAGCUAGUGCCAUUUGGCAAAGGCAUUGAAUUGUAAGCCUUUGAUACUAUGUGUUAUCUUUACAGUCCCAAAGAAACAGUCACUACUGAAAAAAGAUGCUCAUAAUACAGUUUUAAACUUGUGUCCCAUAAUUGGACUUAACCAAAUUUUAGGGUGUGAGUUUUAGUUAAAAAUCCUGUUAAUCUCUCAUGAUAGUACAGUUACGAGUCAAGGACCAACAGCAUCAGCAUCAUUGGGAGCUUGUUGGAAGUACAGAAUCUCAGGAAUUCAGUUUAGACUGACUGAUUCAGACUCUGCAUUUUACAAGGAAUCCCAGGUGAUCCGUUUAAAUAAAAAUGUAAGCAGCACUAGUCCAGGUUCUAGACUAUCUAGGAUAUCACCAUCUGUGGUUGGAAUAUUUAAAACACAACUGAUAUAAAUGAUAUAGUUUUAUUCAAGGUUCCUAAAGUGGCACUAUUAACUGAAGAAAUGUAAACUUCGUGUGCGUAGUUUACUGUGUUGAAUUUUCCUCUGAGUUUUAAAAAUGUGAACUUACUAAUAAACCUCAAUUUUUCUAA